GAUCAUUACGGAGUUGCAAAACUCCCAACCAUUGUGAACCUACCUCACCGGGUGCUUCGGCGGGUGGCCCGGGGCAACCCAGGCCGCGCCGGCUCCUCUUCAGGGGCCUGGCAGACCCGUCCCAGGACCGAAACUCUUCGUCAUCAGUGGCCUCUCUGAUUAACUUAUACCAUAAGUCAAAACUUUCAACAACGGAUCUCUUGGUUCUGGCAUCGAUGAAAAACGCACCGAAAUGCGAUACGUAAUGUGAAUUGCAGAUUUCAGUGAAUCAUCGAAUCUUUGAACGCACAUUGCGCCCGCUAUUAUUCUGGCGGGCAUGCCUGUUCAAGCGUCAUUUCAACCAUCAAGCCCCUGUGCUUGUGUUGGAGCCCUGCGGCUGCCGCAGGCUCCCAAACCCAGUGGCGGGCUCGUCGUCGUACCGAGUGCAGAAAAUUUACCACGCUCAGGGCACGCCAUGGGUGACCGGCCGUAAAACCCCCUACUUCUCAAAGGUUGACCUCGAAUCAUGUAGAAUACCCGCUGAACUUAAGCAUAUCAAUAAG
rnacentral:rRNA from 1 species